rnacentral:lncRNA from 1 species
GCACUUUUCUUUGUGCAUUCACACGAUGCAUUUUCUUUUCUUAUCACCAAACUGUUUUGAAAGAUAAAAGUACUUCCUGAAUAUGUGGAUGGUGAGCCACGUGAAUGGAAGACAUGGAGAUAUGGACUGUUAACACCUUGUCAAACAUUUAUUGUCCCUUCCACCUCUAAACUUCUGUGAUAAUAGGUGAACAGGACCCACGUGGUGCAGAAUACUGCGAUACACACUGCGGAAUAAUUCAGUGCAGAACAACACGUGGAUUGCUCAGUACAACUUGUUCAUCACAUCCUCCUGUUCACUGAAGAAUUAUGGAAAUAUUCUCUGAGCUGCUUUCCUCCCUGCCCAACGAGUCAUCUCUGUGUGAAAGGCCAAGCUUAUAAAUCCUGAAGAAAGAGACAUUAUACAAAUGCAAGCUGUUGUCACAACAAUGAUAAGAAAUCAGGAGUCGAAAGAUGUGGAGUAAGGGGGAAUUUCAGAGAAACCACAAAACACAAAAUAGGAAACAGAGACAGGAGAAGAUUGCUAUGACAAAAUUGCAGAAGGUGAAAUCUUUGGCAGCCUCUUAUUUCUCUGGAGAAUAUGAUAUUGUCAGGCUGAGGUGGAAGAAUCACAUGGUCAUACUGUUGAAGAGGUCUUGAAACAUUGGGCUUUCCUCUACAAGCGGAAGGAUAGCACUGGCAGCCAUCCACUGGCCCAGCAAUAUCCUGGAUUGAGACGAUAUCAUUUGCAUUACUUGCUGAAUGAAACAUAGUGAAAAUGACUGCAGAUAACCUCAACUAAGUCCAAGAUAUCAUUUUCAAAUCUGGACCAGCCCUUGCCAUCUAGACUGAACAGAGAUUCCAGUUUCCAGGAGAGUAGAUGGAGUAAUGAUAAAAGCACCUCCCAAAACUUUUGCCUUGGUACUACAGAGUGGCACAUAACUAAACAUUAUCAAGGAAUUUUACAGCCCUAGGCCUUCUAUUACUGUGUAUUACAGUCUGCUGUAAUCAUUCUAAUGGUCUAAGAUGUUGCAAGUAAUUUACUCACGGCCUGAACACCAGAAGUGCCAAAAUUGCCUGGGAGUUUUAUUCUGCAUCCAACCAGUACCAGGAAGGAGGAUGUAUUACUUCUCGUUUCUCUACAAGUGUCAGUGCAAAUCCAGCCAUCAAACAAAACUUAGACCUAAAAGCUUUUAGAUUACAGCGAUUAUUGCAGAUUUUACAUGAGAUAAAAAUGUAAUUGCUCCAUUUCCUUUAUUCUUUCUUUCAUUUUCUUCCCUCUCACUGUAUAUUUUAGAUUGUCCUGCUUGACUGCCAGGUCAGACCCAGCACACAAAGAUAUCUGUCAUAAGACUGGGGAGCUGCAGUGUUCUUUUUCAUAAGAAAUGAAAUGCUUGAAAUUUCUCUUCCAAAUGAAUCACAAAACUUCCAUGGUCAUUUUCAUUUUAAAUUAUUUUAUGUCUAUGUAAACUCAUGCAUUGCCUAUAACGGAAUAAUAUUCCCAGCCAUGUGGAUAGUGACAGAGAAUGAGCUGAAGGCAGCAAUACUUCACAGGCAAAGUGGUACAUGCAUUUUUUUUUCAUCUUGCUUUUUUCCUUUUCCAUAUUCACUCAUCCUUUUAAAUUCUUUGAAUCUACUUUUUCCUCCCUCGCUCCCUUCCUAUCCUCCAUCUCUAUCUUUGUCAUUUAUUAAUUCUUUUUCUUCUUUUUCUCCAGACUUGGAUAUUUCUCUAUCCUCUCAUCAUUCUCUUUCAUACACAUUCUCUGACUUGUAGGUCCUAAGAUUCUCAUAUUCUAAAAUUAACCCUCUGCUUAACAGGGUAUGUUUAUAAACCAUUGGACUGAGGAGGAAUUGCCCAAGUUAUCAAAGACAUCCUAUCAGGAAUGUCAGCCUUUUACUCUCAUUCAUGCUCAGAGAAACAGUGCUGCAGGGAUUAUAGCCUGGAAUAUGGCAGAACCAGAUUUUAAAUUUGUUUGCCCUUUGCCUCCUAAUAUCCAUUUUCCCCUAAGUUUAACUGGGCAUAUUUCCCAGUUUGCCUUGCAAAUGUGUUGCCAUAUGACUGCACUUUGUCUAAUAAAAUGAAACUGAGUAAAAAAAAAAA